rnacentral:tRNA from 16 species
CGGUGGUCCAGUGGUAAAUGCCUGGAUCCAAAUUUUUGCUGGCGUGGGUUCAAUUCCCACUAA